rnacentral:miRNA from 1 species
AAUAUAAGGCACAACCACCAUUAACCCAAAGAUCAAGAAAUAAUAAUUAUUAUUAUAUUGUAGUUUGGAUCAUCACGAUAAAUGUAAUGCAUGCAUCCAAUAUGAUUAAAUAACAUGAGAGUUGAGGAUUUAAAAAAUUAGUAAUUUAAUAGACAAUAUGUCAUAGUUAAUUGCAUGCUUACAUGUAUGCCUUAUAUUAUGGAACAUCCAAGAAAAGUGGUUGUGCCUUAUAUU